GCAGGAGAGUUGGUGGUGUUGGCAGGUGGGUUGGUUGUGUUGGCUGGAGGGUUGGUGGUGUUAGGUGGAGGGUUGGUGGUGUUGGAUGGGAGGGUUGGUGGGUUGGUGGUGUGGGCUGGUGGGUUGGUAGUGUUGGCUUGCGGGUUGGUAUUGUUGGCUGGCGGGUUGGUUGUGUUGGCUGGAGGGUUGGUGGUGUUGGCUGGAGGGUUGGUGGUGUUGGCUGGAGGGUUGGUGGUGUUGGCUGUAGGGUUGGUGGUGUUUGCUGGAGGGUUGGUGGUGUUGGCUGGCGGGUUGUUUGUGUUGGCUGGAGGGUUGGUUGUGUUGGCUGGAGGGUUGGUUGUGAUGGCUGGAGGGUUGGUUGUGUUGGCUGCCGGGUAGGUGGUGUUGGCUGGAGGGUAGGUGGUGUUGGCUGGCGGGUUGGUGGUUUUGGCUGGCGGGUUGGUGGUGUUGGCUGGAGGGUUGGUGGUGUUGGCUGGCGGGUUGGUUGUGUUGGAUGACGGAUUGGUGAUGUUGGCUAGCGGGUUGGUGGUGCUGGCUGACGGGUUGGUGGUGUUGGCAGGAGGGUUGGUGGUGUUGGCUGGAGGGUUGGUUGUGUUGGCAGGAGGGUUGGUGGUGUUGGCUGGCAGUGUUGGCUGGCGGGUUGGUGGUGUUGGCUGGCGGGUUGGUAGUGUUGGCUGGCGGGUUGGUGGUGUUGGCUGGCAGGUUGGAUUUGUUGGCUGGCGGGUUGGUGGUGUUGGCAGGCUGUUUGGUUUAUUGGUGUUGUGGGUUGGUAGUGUUGGCUGGCAGGUUGGAUAUGUUGGCCCGGCAUGUCGGUGGUUUUGGCAGGCUGUUUGGUUUAUUGGUGGUGUGGAUUGGCAGGUUGGUAGUGUUGGCUGGCGUGUUGGUAGUGUUGGCUGGUGGGUUG
ensembl:lncRNA